AGCACCACAACCAGAGCUGGAAACAGCAGAGGUGCCUCCUGUUGCUCCUGAGAGCAAACAGCAGAGGAGCUUUUCCGGGGAGAAAAGCUUCCCAGGUUCUUCGCAGAACACCAGGAAGCGAAGAGCAGCCUGGGAAGAGGGCAGCGACGGGCCACCGUGCCCAAAGAAGAUCAAAACUGAGCUGCCAGGGAUGGGAAACUGAAAAAGC